UACAGAGGGUGCAAACGUUGUUCGGAAUUACUGGGCGUAAAGCGCGUGUAGGCGGCCUUCUAAGUCGAACGUGAAAUCCCCGGGCUCAACCCGGGAACUGCGUCCGAUACUGGAAGGCUUGAAUUCGGGAGAGGGAUGCGGAAUUCCAGGUGUAGCGGUGAAAUGCGUAGAUAUCUGGAGGAAUACCGGUGGCGAAGGCGGCAUCCUGGACCAUUACUGACGCUGAGGCGCGAAAGCUAGGGGAGCAAACGGG
rnacentral:rRNA from 1 species